rnacentral:misc_RNA from 1 species
UUUCGGUAUCCUGUGUUGCUUACCUACGGAAAGGAAUUCGAUUGUAUAGUUGCCUUUUUCCACCCAAUGCCCUCCGCGGGUUUGGGGCGGACGCCAGGCACGCUACGUGUUCCUUGCAUGCCUUGACUUGUUGCGGGGCUGUUGAGGCGCACGGAGCUGUUGCCCGCUCUCUCGGAUGCGGAAUGUCAUGCAUGGGUGCGGGGUCUUGGCCUUUGCUUUCCCAAGCUAUGCAUUUGUCCCUUGACACGAACGAUUGUCGCGGUCGUCUUGAUCCUGUCGUAGCCUAUGUGCUGGACAGGACUCAUGUGGCUGUUGGCAUCGUCGAGGAAUGCUACCUGGUUGAUCCUGCCAGUAGUCAUAUGCUUGUCUCA